rnacentral:lncRNA from 1 species
CCCGCGGCGUCCGGCAGCCCGUGGUACGGGCCCGACCGCGUCCUGUACCUCGGCCCGCUCUCCGGCGAGCCCCCGAGCUACCUGACCGGCGAGUUCCCCGGUGACUACGGCUGGGACACCGCCGGGCUCUCGGCCGACCCCGAGACCUUCGCCAAGAACCGCGAGCUGGAGGUCAUCCACUCCCGCUGGGCCAUGCUCGGCGCGCUCGGCUGCGUCUUCCCCGAGCUGCUCGCCCGCAACGGCGUCAAGUUCGGCGAGGCCGUCUGGUUCAAGGCGGGUUCCCAGAUCUUCAGCGAGGGCGGCCUUGACUACCUCGGCAACCCGAGCCUGAUCCAUGCGCAGAGCAUCCUCGCCAUCUGGGCCUGCCAGGUCGUGCUCAUGGGCGCCGUCGAGGGGUACCGCAUUGCCGGCGGCCCGCUCGGCGAGGUCGUCGACCCGCUCUACCCCGGCGGCAGCUUCGACCCGCUGGGGCUCGCCGACGACCCCGAGGCCUUCGCCGAGCUCAAGGUCAAGGAGCUCAAGAACGGCCGCCUCGCCAUGUUCUCCAUGUUCGGGUUCUUCGUGCAGGCCAUCGUCACCGGCAAGGGGCCCCUGGAGAACCUCGCCGACCACCUCGCCGACCCCGUCAACAACAACGCCUGGGCCUACGCCACCAACUUCGUCCCCGGCAAGUGAGUGAGCGAGGAUGGGCAUGGGUGGAUGACGCGCACGGCGAGGUGAAGCGACCGGCCGGGGGUGGGGUCGCCGUAGACGUAUGUAUUCGUAUGUACUGCAACGUGUACGAGUAUUUGUGAAGGAAGGAAGC